AAGAACAUCCUCUUUUAGUUUUUUUUAUAUGCAUUUUAACGUCUUUCGCUUUGUGAGUCUAGAAUUGAGGUGGUUUAAUUUUUAUAGUUCAUUAUCUAGAUUGCUUGUGAUCAAUUUCCUUCUGAUAAAUGCGCAACAAUUUCCAACCUAGU